CAGGGAUUGCCCCAGUAACAGGCGAGUGAAGCGGCAAUAGCUCAAAUUUGAAAUCUGGCCCUUUCAGGGUCCGAGUUGUAAUUUGAAGAGGGCGCGUUGGAGUCGACUGCACCCUAAGUUGGUUGGCAUAGGUCAUCAGAGAGGGUGAGAAUCCCGUAUGU
rnacentral:rRNA from 1 species